UGAGUAAUCUUGAGGUAGGCGGAAUGUGUAGUGUAGCGGUGAAAUGCUUAGAUAUUACACAGAACACCGAUUGCGAAGGCAGCUUACUAAGGGAUUUACUGACGCUGAUGCACGAAAGCGUGGGGAUCAAACAGGAUUAGAUACCCUGGUAGUCCACGCCGUAAACGAUGAUAACUCGCUGUUGGCGAUACACAGUCAGCGGCUUAGCGAAAGCGUUAAGUUAUCCACCUGGGGAGUACGCUCGCAAGAGUGAAACUCAAAGGAAUUGACGGGGGGCCCGCACAAGCGGAGGAACAUGUGGUUUAAUUCGAUGAUACGCGAGGAACCUUACCUGGGCUUAAAUGUGCUGUGCCGGGCUGAAGAAAUUUGGCUUUCCGCAAGGACAGAGUACAAGGUGCUGCAUGGUGUCGUCAGCUCGUGCCGUAAGGUGUCGGGUUAAGUCCCAUAACGAGCGCAACCCUUAUUGUCAGUGCUAACAGGUAAAGCUGAGGACUCGGCGAGACUGCCACGUAAGGUGUGAGGAAGGGGGGGAUGACGUCAAAUCAGCACGGCCCUUAUGUCCAGGGCUACACACGUGUUACAAUGGCCGAUACAAAGGGCAGCUACCGGGCGACCGGAUGCUAAUCUCUAAAGUCGGUCUCAGUUCGGAUCGGAGUCUGCAACCCGACUCCGUGAAGCUGGAUUCGCUAGUAAUCGCGCAUCAGCCAUGGCGCGGUGAAUACGUUCCCGGGCCUUGUACACACCGCCCGUCAAACCAUGGGAGUUGGGGGUACCUGAAGUAUGUGACCGCGAGGAGCGUCCUAGGGUAAAACCAAUGACUGGGUUUAAGUCGUAACAAGGUA
rnacentral:rRNA from 1 species